rnacentral:rRNA from 1 species
UCUGGAAACUGUNUGACUUGAGUGCAGAAGGGGAGAGUGGAAUUCCAUGUGUAGCGGUGAAAUGCGUAGAUAUAUGGAGGAACACCAGUGGCGAAAGCGGCUCUCUGGUCUGUCACUGACGCUGAGGCUCGAAAGCGUGGGUGGCGAACAGGAUUAGAUACCCUGGUAGUCCACGCCGUAAACGAUGAGUGCUAGGUGUUAGGCCCUUUCCGGGGCUUAGUGCCGGAGCUAACGCAAUAAGCACUCCGCCUGGGGAGUACGACCGCAAGGUUGAAACUCAAAGGAAUUGACGGGGGCCCGCACAAGCGGUGGAGCAUGUGGUUUAAUUCGAAGCAACGCGAAGAACCUUACCAGGUCUUGACAUCCCGAUGCUAUUCUUAGAGAUAGGAAGUUACUUCGGUACAUCGGAGACAGGUGGUGCAUGGUUGUCGUCAGCUCGUGUCGUGAGAUGUUGGGUUAAGUCCCGCAACGAGCGCAACCCUUAUUGUUAGUUGCCGUCAUUAAGUUGGGCACUCUAGCGAGACUGCCGGUAAUAAACCGGAGGAAGGUGGGGAUGACGUCAAAUCAUCAUGCCCCUUAUGACCUGGGCUACACACGUGCUACAAUGGUCGGUACAACGAGUUGCGAGCCGGUGACGGCAAGCUAAUCUCUGAAAGCCGAUCUCAGUUCGGAUUGGAGGCUGCAACUCGCCUCCAUGAAGUCGGAAUCGCUAGUAAUCGCGGAUCAGCACGCCGCGGUGAAUACGUUCCCGGGCCUUGUACACACCGCCCGUCACACCACGAGAGUUUGUAACACCCGAAGUCGGUGAGGUAACCUUUUAGGGGCCAGCCGCCUAAGGUGGGANGGAUGA